GUCAUUUUACUUUCGGCUCCUGUUUUCCUGAGCCCCCCAUUUAGGGCUUCAGCCGUCAUCGGUAAUUCAGAAGGUAGCAGCUCUGACACUGAACCUAUGGACACAACACCUCCUUCCCAGGCUGUCACUUUCCAUUCGGCUGCUGUUUUCCCCAGACCCCAUUUACGGCUUCAGCUUGCAGAAGCUCUGACACUGAACCUAUGACCAUCACACCGCCUUCCCAGGCUGUCAUUUUCCAUUCGGCUGUUGUUUUUUCCAGGCCCCCCAUU